CGAGCGAGUCGCUGCGAGACACAGAGACACUGAGACGCGUUUAUCUGAGCUGCUGGGCUCUGAGAGGGACAGAG